rnacentral:misc_RNA from 1 species
CGUGUUUUUCCGGCCAGAGAUCAAGUUGCUCGGUGACUAGCAAAGGGAACAUAUACCCUUCAUAAAAUGUACCAUGCCUCUUGCUUAAGAAGUUCCAUUUGCCUAGUUCAUCCUGCCAUAUUCAUCAUAUUACUCAACAUGGCCAAGACCCCCAGCCUCUUCAAGAGACUCCCUAGAAGCUGCUUCUUCCACAGAUUCAUCAAGCUCCCAACCGCCCUUGGGGAACAUCAUUCCUUGACCCUUU